GACGAACGCUGGCGGCGUGCCUAAUACAUGCAAGUAGAACGCUGAAGAGAGGAGCUUGCUCUUCUUGGAUGAGUUGCGAACGGGUGAGUAACGCGUAGGUAACCUGCCUUGUAGCGGGGGAUAACUAUUGGAAACGAUAGCUAAUACCGCAUAACAAUGGAUGACCCAUGUCAUUUAUUUGAAAGGGGCAAAUGCUCCACUACAAAAUGGACCUGCGUUGUAUUAGCUAGUAGGUGAGGUAACGGCUCACCUAGGCGACGAUACAUAGCCGACCUGAGAGGGUGAUCGGCCACACUGGGACUGAGACACGGCCCAGACUCCUACGGGAGGCAGCAGUAGGGAAUCUUCGGCAAUGGGGGCAACCCUGACCGAGCAACGCCGCGUGAGUGAAGAAGGUUUUCGGAUCGUAAAGCUCUGUUGUAAGUCAAGAACGAGUGUGAGAGUGGAAAGUUCACACUGUGACGGUAGCUUACCAGAAAGGGACGGCUAACUACGUGCCAGCAGCCGCGGUAAUACGUAGGUCCCGAGCGUUGUCCGGAUUUAUUGGGCGUAAAGCGAGCGCAGGCGGUUUGAUAAGUCUGAAGUUAAAGGCUGUGGCUCAACCAUAGUUCGCUUUGGAAACUGUCAAACUUGAGUGCAGAAGGGGAGAGUGGAAUUCCAUGUGUGGCGGUGAAAUGCGUAGAUAUAUGGAGGAACACCGGUGGCGAAAGCGGCUCUCUGGUCUGUAACUGACGCUGAGGCUCGAAAGCGUGGGGAGCGAACAGGAUUAGAUACCCUGGUAGUCCACGCCGUAAACGAUGAGUGCUAGGUGUUGGAUCCUUUCCGGGAUUCAGUGCCGCAGCUAACGCAUUAAGCACUCCGCCUGGGGAGUACGACCGCAAGGUUGAAACUCAAAGGAAUUGACGGGGGCCCGCACAAGCGGUGGAGCAUGUGGUUUAAUUCGAAGCAACGCGAAGAACCUUACCAGGUCUUGACAUCCCGAUGCUAUUUCUAGAGAUAGAAAGUUACUUCGGUACAUCGGUGACAGGUGGUGCAUGGUUGUCGUCAGCUCGUGUCGUGAGAUGUUGGGUUAAGUCCCGCAACGAGCGCAACCCCUAUUGUUAGUUGCCAUCAUUCAGUUGGGCACUCUAGCGAGACUGCCGGUAAUAAACCGGAGGAAGGUGGGGAUGACGUCAAAUCAUCAUGCCCCUUAUGACCUGGGCUACACACGUGCUACAAUGGUUGGUACAACGAGUUGCGAGUCGGUGACGGCAAGCUAAUCUCUUAAAGCCAAUCUCAGUUCGGAUUGUAGGCUGCAACUCGCCUACAUGAAGUCGGAAUCGCUAGUAAUCGCGGAUCAGCACGCCGCGGUGAAUACGUUCCCGGGCCU
rnacentral:rRNA from 1 species